UCUAGCAACUCGUCGACAAAAUAGAAGUACGUAGGUAGACAACUGGGGUCAUAAAAGGGGAGCUAUAAUCGGUGAGAAGCGGUUGACCUUGCCUGCAAUGCACGCUAAAAUUCCACGGUGCCACAACGUAAAUGGUGCCAGUUAGACAAUUUGUAAAUAUUUCCGACCGCAGCGCCGCCUUAAGACAUACGCGUGUAACCAAAAUCGCGAUUCUAUAGGUAUAUGGUCAAAGUGGCACCCUCGCCAUACUUCGUUUUUAGAGUCCCAUAGGGUGCCUGAACGUAAAUAUAGUCGAAAACGUUGUGGCACCUUAAAUUGGUGCCACUACGCAUAUAUGGGUGCCACAACGUCUAUAUAUGCUCAUUAUUGGUGCCACUUGAACGUGUUUCCUAUAUAUAUAUAUAUACGCAAUAAGUAGUCACUUCCGUUACACAAACUGGGCGACCUGACUUCCACCAAAAGAAAUACACCUAGAUUUUUUUUCAGUCUAUUAAUAAGUUUAGGGGGAUGUGCUUUAUCAAGUUUUCUAAAGAGGGGAAGCGAUUUCGCUUGUUUAUUUUUAAUAUAUAUAAUAUAUAACUGCAGUCAUAUUCUCUACCAAUUCACUUCCGGUAAAUGUGUAAUAUCUCUCUCGUUGUCACUUCCGGCGAUGUUGCCACUACCUUUACUACUAACAUUUGGGUAAAUGCAUUAACGUUUUACUCUAUAUUUUAUAGUGAGUGUCAUAAUUAAUUAUUUUGGUGUCAACGAACAUAUCGCAAGGUAAGUGUAGGUACAUGGGUUCAAGAUGUACUGAGUCGAUUAUUGUAUGGGAUACUAAUGUGAAGUGCAUUUUCUAAGUUGCACAUAAUGAUAAAUUAAAAAAACGUUUCACCAAAAUUUUUUUCACGUUUAUAGGACUGUGUUCUACUGAUUGGCCCACAUUUCGUUAUCAUAACUGCAGUAGUGCUGUAGUCUAUGUUUUGCAAUGAUUAUGGUAAAUUUGAUAUAUCGCCAUCCCCUAAUCCAAACGGCUUUUGCAUUGUAGAAUUUUGUAUGAUAUUAUUAUUUCUGCUUGGCUUUGUAUUUAUUAAGUUUUGUCCUAUAAUUGGAUUUUUUUUCUGUUUGGGCAUAUAUAUUAUUAAUUGUUCUUUUUAUUUAUUAUAUUUUUCUCCAUUUAUGGCACUGUUCAGGCGUGCGGCAACAGCGACGGUCAUUGGCACACCAUGGGGGUAAGUUCUAUAUUUCAUAAUUUAUAGGCAUGUGUUUAGAUUUUGUUUAUGUUGUUUAUAGUUUUUAUAUACUUAAGGACGUUUUUUUAGGUUAGAGUCGGAUAGUGUAGUCGCUACAUCACCUUUUAUGCGCUUCAUUCUGCGGUAUUGUUCUAGCGUAGGGCAUGAUUCCAAUAUAUGGGCAUUGUUAGUGUAUGAUUAUUAUUAUCAUUACCAUUGUCAUUAUCAUGAUCAUCAUCAUGAUGAUUAUCAUACCAUUAUCAUUGUCAUUAUUAUCGUCAUCGUCAUGAUCAUUAUCAUCAUUAUCGUCAUCAUCAUUAUCAUCAUCCUCAUCGUGAUCGUAGUCGUGGAACAUGAUCAUUAUCAUUAUAUUUUAAUUUUGUCAUAUUUUUCUCCGUUAAUAGCCCUGUUCCGGCGUGUGUUGACAGCGACUGUCAUUGGAACACCGUGGAGUGGAGUGACCACAGCUGCUUUACGAACUCAACUUAACUUAAACUUCAGACCUAGAAGGACCAAUAAAAGCUAUAGCAUAUCCUGUUUAACACAUCAAGGUUUCAUACUAUGAUGCACGUGGGUAAGUCAAAUUAUGCCAUUCGUUUUGCAGCUACCUAUGUGUUGAAGAUCUAGGUGCGUAUCUACCAAAUGUAUAUCAAUCUACUUACUACCGCAUAAGGUCUGUCGACUGUAGGUGCACAACAUUAAUUGUACUUAACUAGUAAUAAAACAAACAUUGUGGAAGAAUAAAAUAAAAAUGUAUUCUAUUACGUAAAAUAAAGGUAACAUUUCUUGUA